UAAGAGGGCAUUUUUGACAAUAAAUUUGACAAUAAUUUGACAAUAAAUUUGACAAUAAAUUCCAUAUGUUAAAAAAAAAAAAGAUUAGGGUUGAACAGUCUGUCCCCUGGGGGAAAGAACCUCGCUAGCAGUGGAUGGGGUAGAGGCAAAAGUAAUUCUAGAGGGACAGGGAUAGAAGGGAGCUUAUGAAUGGCAAGGCAAGAUUAUCAGGCAUUUGAAAGCAGAAAAGAUUCAGAAAGACAGGGCCAUUCUUCCUGCAGGUCUCAGAGGUGUCAGUGUCCCUCUGGGAAAGGGAUGAGGAACCAACUGGUGGAUGACAAUUAAUGAAGGAGAUUUGAGAAGUCAAAUAAGGCAGCCCAGAGGAUCAUUGUUUUUGGUGCUUUAGAACAAAGUUGAGGAGGGGCUGCCCUCCAGGCAGGCCAACCACAGCAAGAAAAUGCUAGCACAGAUGACACUAGAGAGAUUUUAAAGUGUCAUUUUCCUUGAGAGGACGCUUGGGAUGUAACAGCUACUCAGUGAAGGUUUGCUCAAUUAAACUGAAUCCAAACAAGUAGAUUAAGAUGAAGCUAUGGACCUGCUCACCUUUUUCCUUAACAGUCAAAAAAAAAAAAAAAAAGGCCUUCAUUAUAGAAGUAUGCCACAGGGACAUUAGAGCAGGUCACAGGGAGACCUGCUUAACACAGAUUGCUGGAUCCACCCCCACAGUUUCAGUGUGUCUGGCUAGGGCCACCAAAUUUGCAUUUCUAAGAAGUUCCCAGUGGUGCUGAUGUUGCUGAUCCAGGGAUCACACUUUGAGAACCAUGGGUUGAGGGUUAAAGGGUUAAAGGAUGUUGAUUAUUCUGAGCCUCUUAGGAUAAGGCAAUUCAGGAAGUACAAUGAUUUUUCAUCUAUUCUUCUGUGUCAAGGGCUUAGAGAAUCCUCGAGCGAGUAUGAUUUAUAGAGCACUGUACUUUCUUGGGGGACUGGAUUUCCAUACUUAUUCCAAUGGCAUAGGCCAUUAAGGCUCCUAAUGGAUUGAGGAAUUAAUGAAGUAUCUGGCAAUGAAGCUUUGUGUAUCAUUAGAUUCCUUGAGCACAAAGGGCAUCAAGAAAUGAUGAGCUGUGAAGGAGUUGGAAGUUCAAAGCACAUCCACUGCCUUUUUUUCCCCUUUUAAUAUGAUUUGUAGUAUGAUUUUAUUGUUGUUUUGCCAAUUUAGUGAUUGUUUUUCCUUCCUAAUAUAGGCAGGUAAUUCCCAAACAGGCACAAAUGCUUUUUAAUUAGUGUUUCCCUAUCAGACAACUAACAAGCUAAUGAUAAUGAUAUAGUAGCUAAUUCCCUUUUCCUUUUGCUCUCCAAAGAUGCUUUUUCCAAGCACUACACAGACUCACACCACUCACACCACGCAGAAAUGUCUGACCUCAGCCAUCUAAGCAUGUUAUAAACAGAAGACACUAUGAAAUGGUACAGUAAAACUCAAUUCUGAAUACUCAUGCAUCAGCUCAUAAGUCCUCUGUCUCCCCACCCUCCUCACGAAAAGUUAUUUCUACACUUCAAGUUCAGAGCAUUAAAAUAUAUGGUUCAUGAUGUCAAGUGUGUUGCAUUAAAUCUUUAUUUAUGAUAUGUAUCAGAAGCCAUUUAUCUCAUUGCUUUUUGUUCAGUGAGAUUCACCAUGCAAAAAAAUGAGAAGCUAAGAAAAAGUCAAGAAGCAGGAUAAAGAGGAAAGGGCAGAGGAAUGAGCUCAGUCAGGCCAAGAGACACAGCUAGAAAAAUGGGCAGAGGUGGUAGGGAUCAGAUCAAAGUCUGCACUUAUUCAAAACAAGGCUAGAGAGUCAUUGUUGACCCUGAGAAAUUUAAAGAAGCACAAAAGAAUUCUAGAACUGGAAAGGCCAUAGUAGUUCAUACAUAAACUGACAAAUUAACAAAUGACUCUUGAAAAGUACUAUGUCAACAGCCCAGUCACACUUUUUAUUUUAGAUCAGAAGAUACACCACAGAGAAGCUCAUCAAAUAGGAAUCCGUCUGGAAGCACCUUUUAACCCCAGCACCAGAACACUGACUGCACACAGCAGAGAUCCAUAGGCUUUACUAAAAAUACUGCCAAAGGAGUCCAUGGAACAGAAGAGUUAAGAACUCCUGACACAGAACUAUUAAAAAUGUCCACAGUCACUAUGGACACCGUGAUUACAACCAUGCACACAAAUGAAGAGAGAUUUCAAUGAAGAACAUCAUGUUUAGGAUCAGAAGUAGCCAACUUACUCCCACAGUGAACCAAAAGCACCAUGUACUACCCUCUGUUUCCCUGUCUUUGCAACUAGCCAUGAACAGGUCACAAAAAGGUGUACAGCUGCAACAGAGGAAUCGUUCUGCCCUCAAGGAAGUGGCUCUGAAGCAGUGUGAGAUCUGGAGUGGAGCAUGACAACCCAGCAGUCUCAAGAUGAAGUGUCAAGUCAGCAGACAAAGCUGGCUGCAAAAGCAAAGCAGACUCUCACAGGAAAAGGACUGCCUGCAGCCCUCUGGCAGCAUGCUGGGACUCACAGGCAGGACACAAUCAAAGCUCUGCUUCUGCAAAUGGUUACAUGCGAAGGACUAUCCCUUUCACCAUCAACCUCAGAGAAGACCCAAACUACAAGGCUCUGGAAGAUCCAAUGAACGUUUGUGGAGUCACUCUAAAUGGGAUGCCUUUGUCCCUCGUGUCUUACCUUGAUCACAAUAUAAGUGACAAUGCCUGA